CUACGGGAGGCAGCAGUGAGGAAUAUUGGACAAUGGAUGGAAAUCUGAUCCAGCCAUGCCGCGUGCAGGAAGACGGCCCUAUGGGUUGUAAACAGCUUUUGUAUGGGAGCAAUAAGGUCUAUGCGUAGACUGAUGAGAGUACCAUACGAAUAAGCAUCGGCUAACUCCGUGCCAGCAGCCGCGGUAAUACGGGGGAUGCAAGCGUUAUCCGGAUUUAUUGGGUUUAAAGGGUGCGUAGGCGGUUUGAUAAGUCAGCGGUGAAAUAUUUCAGCUUAACUGAAAGGGUGCCGUUGAUACUGUCAGGCUUGAAUAUGGUUGCUGUGGGUGGAAUGUGUGGUGUAGCGGUGAAAUGCUUAGAUAUCACACAGAAUAUCGAUUGCGAAGGCAGCUCACAAAGCCAUUAUUGACGCUGAUGCACGAAAGUGUGGGGAUCAAACAGGAUUAGAUACCCUGGUAGUCCACACUGUAAACGAUGAUAACUCGCUGUCGGCGAUACACAGUCGGUAGCCAAGCGAAAGCGAUAAGUUAUCCACCUGGGGAGUACGACCGCAAGGUUGAAACUCAAAGGAAUUGACGGGGGCCCGCACAAGCGGAGGAACAUGUGGUUUAAUUCGAUGAUACGCGAGGAACCUUAC
rnacentral:rRNA from 1 species